CUGAUCCUACGGGGGGCAGCAGUGAGGAAUAUUGGUCAAUGGGCGCGAGCCUGAACCAGCCAAGUAGCGUGAAGGAUGACUGCCCUACGGGCUGUAAACUUCUUUUAUAAAGGAAUAAAGUGAGGCACGUGUGCCUUUUUGUAUGUACCAUAUGAAUAAGGAUCGGCUAACUCCGUGCCAGCAGCCGCGGUAAUACGGAGGAUCCGAGCGUUAUCCGGAUUUAUUGGGUUUAAAGGGAGCGUAGGUGGAUUGUUAAGUCAGUUGUGAAAGUUUGCGGCUCAACCGUAAAAUUGCAGUUGAAACUG
rnacentral:rRNA from 1 species